UGAGAAUACUUCAGACAUGAAUUUCUGUAUGAUUUGGGCUCCCAGGCUUCAGAGAUUCCUCUCAGGCAGACAAAGAAGGCAAGCCAUGGUCAAGAGCUCUGGCCUUUAUUUUGUUUCCCUGUGAAACAUUUUGUGAGACACAGAUGCAAGAGUAAGUGGCUUAUUCCAGGUCAUCCCAGGAAACAGCAGCAAGGGUGUGGGCGAGUUAGACAGUGAAGAAGAGGAAGUCAGAAAAGAGUUUGUGAUCAAGCAAGUCACCACUGUGGCUAAAUUGGCAGUCAUUUUCAUGAAAACUGAGCAGCCGUGUAGAUGGUGCACCUCAGAGUUAGGGAAGCUGAGGUGUGUUGUCCACAAGUUUCUCAUUUGUCAUUGGUUGAUGGCUACAUCUAAGACCAGUAACUGGUACAGAGGCAAGUGUUAUCAACAUAAGUUAUAUGUUUCUUUUUCUAACCUUUUUUUUGUGCUUUAGUAACUUCAGUUUGUAUAUCAGAGAGUCAACCAAUUCAUUGACUAUUGAAAUUUACUAAAUUCAUUAACCUGUUGACUGAAAUACCAAGCCCUGUAUUCCUGCUCUCACACCUAGUCUUAGAUACAGCAUCACUGUGCUUAUUCAAUUUUUGUAUUGAAUA
rnacentral:lncRNA from 1 species